rnacentral:rRNA from 1 species
AGAACGAACGCUGGCGGCAUGCCUAAUACAUGCAAGUCGAACGAACACUUCGGUGUUAGUGGCGCACGGGUGCGUAACGCGUGGGAAUCUGCCCUUGGGUUCGGAAUAACAGUUGGAAACGACUGCUAAUACCGGAUGAUGACGAAAGUCCAAAGAUUUAUCGCCCAGGGAUGAGCCCGCGUAGGAUUAGCUAGUUGGUGAGGUAAAGGCUCACCAAGGCGACGAUCCUUAGCUGGUCUGAGAGGAUGAUCAGCCACACUGGGACUGAGACACCGGCCCAGACCUCCUACGGGAGGCAGCAGUAGGAAUAGUGACAAGUGGGCACGAAGCCUGACUCCAGACAAUCGCCGCGUGAGUGAUAGGAACGGCGUUAGGGUUAGUAA